rnacentral:rRNA from 1 species
UACGUAGGGGGCGAGCGUUAUCCGGAUUCACUGGGUGUAAAGGGAGCGUAGACGGCCAUGCAAGCCAGGGGUGAAAGCCCGGGGCCCAACCCCGGGACUGCCCUUGGAACUGCAUGGCUGGAGUGCGGGAGGGGCAGGCGGAAUUCCUGGUGUAGCGGUGAAAUGCGUAGAUAUCAGGAGGAACACCGGCGGCGAAGGCGGCCUGCUGGACCGCGACUGACGUUGAGGCUCGAAAGCGUGGGGAGUGAACAGG